rnacentral:snRNA from 1 species
GUGCUCUGUUUGGCAGCACAUACACUAAAAUUAGAAUGGUACAGAAAGAUCAGUAUGACAGCUGUGGAAGGAGGACACACAAAUUUGUGAAGCAUUCCAUUAAAAU